AUUGAACGCUGGCGGCAUGCUUUACACAUGCAAGUCGAACGGUAACAGGCCGCAAGGUGCUGACGAGUGGCGAACGGGUGAGUAAUGCAUCGGAACGUGCCCAGUCGUGGGGGAUAACUACUCGAAAGAGUAGCUAAUACCGCAUACGAUCUAUGGAUGAAAGCGGGGGACCGUAAGGCCUCGCGCCAUUGGUGCGGCCGAUGUUAGAUUAGUUAGUUGGUGGGGUAAAGGCUCACCAAGCCAACGAGCUGUAGCUGGUCUGAGAGGACGACCCGCCACACUGGAACUGAGACACGGCCCAGACGCCUAAGGGAGGCAGCAGUGGGGAAUUUUGGACAAUGGGCGCAAGCCUGAUCCAGCAAUGCCGCGUGCAGGAAGAAGGCCUUCGGGUUGUAAACUGCGUUUGUACGGAACGAAACGGCUCUGGUUAAUACCCGGGGCUAAUGACGGUACCGUAAGAAUAAGCACCGGCUAACUACGUG
rnacentral:rRNA from 1 species